CACAUAGAUGCCAACCAUUACGAUUUUUGCGUAGUUUUUCCGAUUUUGCGAUAAAAACUACGCUGUUACGGUCAAAGUCGAAUAGUUACGGAUUACCAAUCAUUGCCGUUCAAUUUUGUAAAACGCGGAUUUGUAUCAUUACUUUUCCGUCCUGGUCCGGUAUUUAGAAAACGCCAAUGUAAUGCUUCCGGUUCCUCGGGAGUUAUCAACCUAUUGUUGAGUAACUAACUGACUUCCGAAGAGGCAAACUUGCAUUUUAUGAAGGAGCUUUCCCCCUUUCUCUACUUCUCCUUGACAAAACGAAAAUGUACGAGUCGAGAACAUCUGAACAAUUAAUGAAUGGAAUACAUACUACAGACAACAUCUUAAACGACAUCACUUUGCAACCACUCGUCAGUAAUUUUUAUUGGUAAAUGCACGUUUAUAAAUGAUUACUGAAAACUUUUCAAAAAUACGGAAAAUUUGAUAGUUUGUUACUGAUUGUGUCAAAAGGGGGUUGGCAUCUAUGG
rnacentral:lncRNA from 1 species